CCGAGGGAAGGAGACACUUCUUCACACAUAGAGUAGUGAAGAGCCUGCCUCACAGCCUCCAGCUGCUGGCGGAGCAGGAUCUCCUCAUCCUCUGCAAUCAUCUUCACUGCCAGGCACUCCUUCUUGUGCAGCACUGCCUCCUGCCAAUACCAAGGGUUCAAAGGUGUAGCCCCCACUCCUGAAGCCCCUGCCUGCUGUACCUGCUGGUGGUGUCUGAGCUGCUUGCGAAGCUGGCCCUGUUUC